rnacentral:rRNA from 1 species
UACGGGGGGAGCAAGCGUUGUUCGGAUUUACUGGGCGUAAAGGGCGCGUAGGCGGCCUUCUAAGUCGAACGUGAAAUCCCUGGGCUCAACCCAGGAACUGCGUCCGAUACUGGAAGGCUUGAAUCCGGGAGAGGGAUGCGGAAUUCCAGGUGUAGCGGUGAAAUGCGUAGAUAUCUGGAGGAACACCGGUGGCGAAGGCGGCAUCCUGGACCGGUAUUGACGCUGAGGCGCGAAAGCUAGGGGAGCAAACGGG